rnacentral:rRNA from 1 species
GAUGAACGCUAGCGGCAGGCCUAAUACAUGCAAGUCGAACGAGAUUAAGAGGCUUGCUUCUUAUGAAAGUGGCGCACGGGUGCGUAACGCGUAUGCAACCUACCUUAAUCAGGGGGAUAGCCCGAAGAAAUUCGGAUUAAGACCGCAUAAAAACACAGGAUAGCAUUAUCCAAUGUUCAAAUAUUUAUAGGAUUAAGAUGGGCAUGCGUGUCAUUAGCUAGUUGGCGGGGUAACGGCCCACCAAGGCGACGAUGACUAGGGGAUCUGAGAGGAUGACCCCCCACACUGGUACUGAGACACGGACCAGACUCCUACGGGAGGCAGCAGUAAGGAAUAUUGGUCAAUGGAGGGAACUCUGAACCAGCCAUGCCGCGUGCAGGAAGACAGCCCUCUGGGUCGUAAACUGCUUCUAUUCGGGAAUAAACCUUUCUACGUGUAGGAAGCUGAAUGUACCGAAGGAAUAAGGAUCGGCUAACUCCGUG